rnacentral:rRNA from 1 species
AUUCUUGGUCAUUUAGAGGAAGUAAAAGUCGUAACAAGGUUUCCGUAGGUGAACCUGCGGAAGGAUCAUUAUUGAAGUAAACCUGAUGGGUUGUUGCUGGUUCUCUAGGGAGCAUGUGCACGCCUUGUCAUCUUUAUAUCUCCACCUGUGCACCUUUUGUAGAUCUUUUCAGGUCUAUGUUGCUUCAUUUACCCCAAUGUAUGUUAAUAGAAUGUUGUGCCUAUAUAAUAUAUACAACUUUCAGCAACGGAUCUCUUGGCUCUCGCAUCGAUGAAGAACGCAGCGAAAUGCGAUAAGUAAUGUGAAUUGCAGAAUUCAGUGAAUCAUCGAAUCUUUGAACGCACCUUGCGCUCCUUGGUAUUCCGAGGAGCAUGCCUGUUUGAGUGUCAUUAAUAUAUCAACCUUCUCUCGUUGAGUCGUUUGGAUGUGGGGGUUUGCUGGCCUCUUUAAAAGGUUUUUAGCUCCCCUGAAAUGCAUUAGCAGAAACAGCCCUGUUCAUUGGUGUGAUAACUAUCUACGCUAUUGAAUGUGGAGGGCAGUUUAGCUUUCUAACGGUCCUUUGGACAGCUCAUCAUUAAUGUGACCUCAAAUCAGGUAGGACUACCCGCUGAACUUAAGCAUAUCAAUAAGCGGAGGAAAUC